GACGAACGCUGGCGGCGUGCUUAACACAUGCAAGUCGAACGAAGUGGCGAACGGGUGAGUAACGCGUAAUCAACCUGCCCUUCAGAGGGGAACAACAGUUGGAAACGACUGCUAAUACCUCAUACUGAAGGAGGGGAUUGCGGCUGAUUAGCUAGUUGGAGGGGUAACGGCCCACCAAGGCGAUGAUCAGUAGCCGGGUGGGGAGGGUGAACGGCCCCAUUGGGACUGGGACACGGGCCAGACUCCUACGGGAGGCAGCAGGGGGGAAUCUUCCGCAAUGGACGAAAGUCUGACGGAGCAACGCCGCGUGAGUGAUGACGGCCUUCGGGUUGUAAAGCUCUGUUAAUCGGGACGCGGUACCGGAAUAGAAAGCCACGGCUAACUACGUGCCAGCAGCCGCGGUAAUAC
rnacentral:rRNA from 1 species